GCAAGUCGAACGAUCGCAAGAUAGUGGCGCACGGGUGAGGAACACGUAGCUAACCUGCCUUUGGGUCUGGGAUAACGUCGCGAAAGUGACGCUAAGACCGGAUAAGCUCCCGGGUUGUAGAGACCAGAGAGAAAAGGGGCAAGACGCCUGAAGAGGGGGCUGCGGCGCACCAGCUAGUUGGUGGGGUAAAGGCCUACCAAGGCAACGACGCGUAAGGGGUCUGAGAGGAUGAUCCCUCACACUGGGACUGAGACACGGCCCAGACUCCUACGGGAGGCAGCAGUGAGGAAUAUUGCACAAUGGGGGGAACCCUGAUGCAGCGACGCCGCGUGGGUGAUGACGGCCUUCGGGUUGUAAAGCCCUUUUGCCAUUGACGAGAACGGACGGUAGAUGGCGAAUAAGCCUCGGCUAACUACGUGCCAGCAGCCGCGGUAAAACGUAGGAGGCGAGCGUUAUCCGGAGUUACUGGGCGUAAAGCGUGCGCAGGCGGUGCCAUAAGUCAGGUGUGAAAGGUUCCGGCUCAACCGGGAAAACGCGCUUGAGACUGUGGGACUAGAGUGGGAUAGAGGGACGUGGAAUUCCGGGUGGAGCGGUGAAAUGUGUAGAGAUCCGGAGGAACACCAGAGGCGCAAGCGGCGUCCUGGGUCCCAACUGACGCUGAGGCACGAAAGCUUGGGGAGCGAACGGGAUUAGAGACCCCGGUAGUCCAAGCCGUAAACGAUGCAGACUCGGUGUCCACUCUCGCAAGGGAGGGGGCGCCACAGCUAACGCGAUAAGUCUGCCGCC
rnacentral:rRNA from 1 species